AUGAACGCUGGCGGCGUGCCUAAUACAUGCAAGUCGAGCGAACAGAUGAGGAGCUUGCUCCUCUGACGUUAGCGGCGGACGGGUGAGUAACACGUGGAUAACCUACCUAUAAGACUGGGAUAACUUCGGGAAACCGGAGCUAAUACCGGAUAAUAUAUUGAACCGCAUGGUUCAAUAGUGAAAGACGGUUUUGCUGUCACUUAUAGAUGGAUCCGCGCCGCAUUAGCUAGUUGGUAAGGUAACGGCUUACCAAGGCAACGAUGCGUAGCCGACCUGAGAGGGUGAUCGGCCACACUGGAACUGAGACACGGUCCAGACUCCUACGGGAGGCAGCAGUAGGGAAUCUUCCGCAAUGGGCGAAAGCUUGACGGAGCAACGCCGCGUGAGUGAUGAAGGUCUUCGGAUCGUAAAACUCUGUUAUUAGGGGAGAACAAAUGUGUAAGUAACUAUGCACGUCUUGACGGUACCUAAUCAGAAAGCCACGGCUAACUACGUG
rnacentral:rRNA from 1 species